UGGCUGUCCAGAAUUCCCAGCCUCCUUUGUGGAUAACCUGGAUCACUUAGUAAUGGCUGCCUGGUGGGUUGCAUCCUGGAUCUAAGUGGAAAGAGUGCCGGGACUGUUUAGUAAUGUCUGCCGUGGGAUCAGCCAUGGGGAACUAAAUAUUUGCCAUGCCUGGAAUUGGAAAUACCAGAGGGAAAAGAGGGAGGGAGAGACAACAACUUACAGUUCAAGGAAAACUCUUUGGUGAUGGCAGAG
rnacentral:lncRNA from 1 species